rnacentral:misc_RNA from 1 species
UGUGCAGGAGAUUCUAUUCCAUCAGCUGGAACUGGACUUGGCUGGGCUACCAAGGCAUGCCUUUCACCCAAAUGGUCAUCAGAAAUAGAUCUUUGCUCAUAUUUGACACCUUUUGCCUCACACAUGCCAUUGACUUGGUUGUCAUCAAUUAGGGACCUCAAUGACUUGGUAUUCCCACAGCCAAUAUCCUCAGCACUGUACUGAAGCACAUUAGAACCAUUUUGAGACGUACCUUG